GGGAUAGAAUUCCAGGAGUAUGGGUGAAAUGCGUACAUAUCUGGAGGAAUACCAAAGGCGAAAGCAGUCCCCUGGUCCGAUACUGACACUGAGGUACGAAAGCGUGGGGAGCAAACAGGAUUAGAUACCCUGGUAGUCCACGCCCUAAACGAUGUCGAUUAGCCAUUGGAAGGACCCCUUUUCCUUUCAGUGACGUAUCUAACGCGUUAAAUCGACCGCCUGGGAAGUACGACCGCAAGGUUAAAACUCAAAGGAAUUGACGGGGACCUGAACAAGCGGUGAAUGAUGUGGAUUAAUUCGAUGCUACGCGAAGAACCUUACCUACCUUUGACAUGGCCAAAGUUCUACCGAGAGGCGGAAGUACUCGUAAAAGGAUUGGCGCACAGGUGCUGCAUGGUUGUCGUCAGUUCGUGUCGUGAGAUGUUGGGUUCAGUCCCGCAACGAACGCAACCCUUAUCUUUAAUUGCUCCUAUUUUAACAGGCACUUUAAAGAAACUGCCAAUGAUAAGUUGGAGGAAGGUGGGGAUCACGUCAAGUCCGCAUGGCCUUUAUAGGUAGGGCUUCACACGUCAUACAAUGGUUAGAACAAAGGAGCUGCAAAUUCGUAAGAAGGAGCCAAUCUCACAAACCUAACCUCAGUUCGAAUUGCGGUCUGCAACUCGAGCGCAUGAAGCCGGAAUCGCUAGUAAUCGUGGAUCAGAAUGCCACGGUGAAUACGUUCUUAGGUCUU
rnacentral:rRNA from 1 species